AUGGUACGAGAAUGAAAAUGCAUAUUGUGCCACACUGUGUGCAGUUCAAAAAAGGUUUGGCAUAGAAAUGGUGCCUCUUGUUCCAAAUGAACAGGAAGUCUUGGAUUUGGAUGGGGAGCCUGAUCUGUCCAAUUUAGAAGGAUUCCAAUGGGAAAGUGUUUGCAUUUCCUCAUCCCCUGGAUUGGCAAGAAAGUGAAGCCUUUCUGAGAGCAGCCUGAUUCUUGACAGGGCUGCUUCUGUGUACAGCUUCUUCAGUGAGGAAGGCACAGGCAAAGAAAAUGAGCCUCAGCAGCUGAUUUCACCUAGCAACUCACUGAGGACUGCAGAGUCAAAAAGCCAUUAUGCACCUUAAACAGGAAGUGGCACCUCUGGCCACUUCCCUCAGAACAGGUGAAAGGGCUGAAAACGUGGCUUCCCGAAGGCGACACAGUACACAAUUACCCUCUGACCAUUUAAUACCUUUGAUGCAUUCAGCAAAAGACCUUAACAGCUGGGAGAGGUCCUCACCACCUUCAGAGAAUCAGAAUGCCCAGGAGAGUAAUGGAGAAGGAAAUUCUCUAUCAUCAAAUGUAUCCUCUGCCCUUGCAAUCUCUAGUAUAGGUGAUGCAGCCACAGAUAGUAGCUGUCCCUCUGGUGCUGAACAAAAUGAUGGCCAAAGUAUUAGAAAGAAACGAAGAGCCGCUAGAGAUGGAUCUUCUCCUGAAAUCCCAAGUCUUGAGAGAAAAAAUAAAAGAAGAAAAAUUAAAGGAAAGAAAGAACGUUCUCAGGUUGACCAGCUGCUGACUAUUUCUUUAAGGGAGGAAGAACUAAGUAAGUCAUUGCAGUGCAUGGAUAACAAUCUUCUGCAGGCCCGUGCAGCCCUUCAGACAGCUUAUGUUGAAGUUCAGAGGCUACUUAUGCUCAAGCAACAGAUAACUAUGUAGAUGAGUGCACUGAGGACCCAUAAAAUACAGAUUCUACAAGGACUACAAGAAACAUGUGAACCUGCUGAACACCCAGACCAAGCUCCCUAUAGCCUCACAUGAGAACAAAGGAACAGUAGAUCUCAAACAUCUGCUGAUGUCACACUGCUGCCUACUCCCCUUUUCUCAGUUUUCCUGGAGGAUCCAUCUUCCCACGUGCCACCAUCAUCCACUGGAGCCCCUCUUCAAGUAACCACACUUCCUGCUUUCCAAGCCCAUGGCAGUGGCCCUGCUCCAGACUCAUCAGUUCAGAUUAAACAAGAGCCUAUGUCUCCUGGACAAGAUGAGAAUGUGAAUGCUGUGUCACAAGGAUCUGCUUGCAAUGUGUCCAAGGAAUUACUGCAAGCUAAUAGUAUGCAAGCUUUUCUCUGGGUUAAGGGCAUCUUAGUAUUAAGACUA